rnacentral:rRNA from 1 species
UGGGGAAUUUUGGACAAUGGGGGAAACCCUGAUCCAGCCAUCCCGCGUGUGCGAUGAAGGCCUUCGGGUUGUAAAGCACUUUUGGCAGGAAAGAAACGUCAUGGGUUAAUACCCCGUGAAACUGACGGUACCUGCAGAAUAAGCACCGGCUAACUACGUGCCAGCAGCCGCGGUAAUACGUAGGGUGCAAGCGUUAAUCGGAAUUACUGGGCGUAAAGCGUGCGCAGGCGGUUCGGAAAGAAAGAUGUGAAAUCCCAGAGCUCAACUUUGGAACUGCAUUUUUAACUACCGGGCUAGAGUGUGUCAGAGGGAGGUGGAAUUCCGCGUGUAGCAGUGAAAUGCGUAGAUAUGCGGAGGAACACCGAUGGCGAAGGCAGCCUAAUGGAAUAACACUGACGCUCAUGCACGAAAGCGUGGGGAGCAAACAGG